rnacentral:rRNA from 1 species
GAUAAGGUUAAGUGAAUAAGGGCGCACGGUGGAUGCCUUGGCACUAGGAGCCGAUGAAGGACGGGACUAACACCGAUAUGCUUUGGGGAGCUGUAAGUAAGCUAUGAUCCAGAGAUUUCCGAAUGGGGGAACCCAAUAUCUUUUAUAGGAUAUUACUUUUCAGUGAAUACAUAGCUGAUUAGAGGUAGACGCAGAGAACUGAAACAUCUUAGUACCUGCAGGAAGAGAAAGAAAAUUCGAUUCCCUGAGUAGCGGCGAGCGAAACGGGAAGAGCCCAAACCAACAAGCUUGCUUGUUGGGGUUGUAGGACUCCAAUAUGGUAGUCUGUUAGUAUAGUUGAAGGAUUUGGAAAAUUCCGCUAAAGAGGGUGAAAGCCCCGUAGACGAAAUGCUGACAACACCUAGGAGGAUCCUGAGUACGGCGGAACACGAGAAAUUCCGUCGGAAUCCGCGGGGACCAUCCCGCAAGGCUAAAUACUCCCUAGUGACCGAUAGUGAACCAGUACCGUGAGGGAAAGGUGAAAAGCACCCCGGAAGGGGAGUGAAAUAGAUCCUGAAACCGUGUGCCUACAACAAGUCAAAGCUCGUUAAUGAGUGAUGGCGUGCCUUUUGUAGAAUGAACCGGCGAGUUACGAUUGCAUGCGAGGUUAAGUCGAAGAGACGGAGCCGCAGCGAAAGCGAGUCUGAAUAGGGCGAAUGAGUAUGUAGUCGUAGACCCGAAACCAUGUGAUCUACCCAUGUCCAGGUUGAAGGUGCGGUAAAACGCACUGGAGGACCGAACCCACGUACGUUGAAAAGUGCGGGGAUGAGGUGUGGGUAGCGGAGAAAUUCCAAACGAACUUGGAGAUAGCUGGUUCUCUCCGAAAUAGCUUUAGGGCUAGCCUCGGAAUUGAGAAUGAUGGAGGUAGAGCACUGUUUGGACUAGGGGCCCAUCUCGGGUUACC